rnacentral:rRNA from 1 species
GACCUCAAAUCAGGUAGGACUACCCCGCUGAACUUAAGCAUAUCAAUAAGCGGAGGAAAAGAAACUAACAAGGAUUCCCCUAGUAACUGCGAGUGAAGCGGGAAAAGCUCAAAUUUAAAAUCUGGCGGUCUUCGGAUCCGUCCGAG